GAAAUGCGAUAAGUAAUGUGAAUUGCAGAUACAGUGAAUCAUCGAAUCUUUGAACGCAAAUGGCACUCUAUGGUAUUCCGUAGAGUACGUCUGUUUGAGCGUCGCGAACAUCUCCAUAAUUAGUUUUCUUUCUCGCUCAGGGCGUGUAGUGGGUGCUAGCCGUGAAACCCCUUUUUCACAAGGUUGACCUCGGAUCAGGUAGGAAUACCCGCUGAACUUAA
rnacentral:misc_RNA from 1 species